CAUGGAAACCUAAGGUCUGUACCCAAAACUACAGGACUAUUUGACAUCAUAAUAAAACACUGCAGAUAUGAUGCUGAGUAAGAGUAGAAAUGGGAAGACUUGGUUGUGCAGUAACUGAGUUCUUGAAAAGAGGAGAUGCUUGAUGAGGGCAUGGAUCACUAAGGUCUGUUCCCAAUACAAGAAGACUCUUUGACAUCAUAAUAAAAUACUGCAGAUACGAUGCUGAGUGAAAAAGAGUAGAAAUGGGAAGACUUGGUUGUGCAGAAACUGAGUUCUUAAAGAGAGGAGAUACUUUAUGAGGAGGCAUGGAAAGCUAAGGUCUUUCCAGAAUACUACAAGAGUACUUGAUAUCAUAAUAAAACACUAUAGAUAUGAUGCUGAGUGAGUAAGAGUAGAAAUGGGAAGACUUGGUUGUGCAGAAACUAAGUUAUUAAAAGGAGGAGAUGCUUGAUGAGGGUGAGUGGAUUACAUCUCAGUUUAAUAUCCAAUGGAAACUAAAAGCAAAUUAAUAAAAUACUGCAGAUAUGAUGCAGAGUGAAAAAGAGUAGAAAUGGGAAGAUUUGGUUGUGCAGAAACUGAGUUCUUAAAAAGAUGAGAUGCUUGAUGAGGAGGCUGGAGUGCACUGGAGCAAUCCUGGCUGGCCAAUACUGAGUUCUUGAAAACAGGAGAUGCUUGAUGAGGAUGGGAUCAUCUAGUUGCAGGAAAACAAGGCUCAGGGUGCCUACUGAUUCUACAUUAUGGUGAGUUGUAAGUUGCAGGGCUUUGACUCCUGGGUACAUGUAUCUCAUCUGAAAGGGAAUCCUGACGCCUACUGAAUCUUAAUAGUCAAUAUUGAUAUCUGGCAUCAAAUUCAAGUUGACCAAAGUUCCAUCUUCAGACCUGGGAGAAGAUGACAGUCAAAAUGAACUGCUUUCAUGUGACACUGGACCAGGCCUAUAUACAAAGGCAUAAGUAAUCAUUGAAUAAUGUUUCAUCUAUCUAUCUUAAUAUAAUUUGUUCUAUGCCUUACUAGAUAAAUGUUUAGUUACCUGUGAGUUUUCUUUUCCUGCCAUUGUCAGAGCUAGGCAGGGCUUAAGUCCCUUUCGUUUAAACAUUACUAACUCUAUACAUAGCUUGCAAAAUUGGAUAAAACAACAAAGGUUACUUUUUCACUCUCUCUCUGCUUAAUAUCUCUGAAAUUUAAAACUAUUCAGAAUCCCACUGGGCCCGAUCUAUUUUCAAUGCUAAUGCUCCACUGCUAAAACUAUAUAAGCAUCUUCCCUCUAGGCUCAGGCACUAUCUUGGAAGAGGUAAAUGUGUAAGAUUGUAAAGGUUGAUUUUUGAGCAACAAAAUUAAUUUAGAUCUUCCAAAUAAAAAAUGGGCACACAGAUGCCCAAACAGUUGGCAAAAUAAGAUACUUUACCUCCUGGACCAGUAUGUGGACCUUUUUCAUCCAUCCCAACCAUAAUUUCCUCUUUCCUGUAGAAUUAAAAGAAAAUUGCAAAGAGGAUAUGAACUUUUCUGGUAAGAAAACCUCCUGGGUAUAGUGCUCCCAGUUAUGAGAUUUAUGCAGAUUGUUAUAUAAAGUUUUUUUAAAUCAAGCACCUUAGGACAAACUAUUAAAAAGACUGCUAAAAGCGUUGUGACACAACAAAAGUCUCUAAAUUCUGUAGCUUAAAAAGUUUUAACAAAGUACUUAUCUUUUGCAAGCUAAUUGCUACAAGUCUAUAACUAAAACAUGUAUUGACUGAUGUCUUAGGUCUCCCGACGAAGUCUUGCUCUGUUGCCCAAGCUGGAGUGCAGUGGUGUGUUCUAGGCUGACUGCAACCUUUGCUUCCUGGGUUCAAGUGAUUCUCUUGCUUCAGCCUCCCAAAUGGCUGGUAUUACAGACGUGCACCACCACACCUGGCUAAUUUUUUUUUUUUUUUUUUGAGACAGAGUCUCACUCUGUCAUUCAGGCUGGAGUGCAGUGGCACAAUCUCGGUUCACUGCAACCUCCAUUUCCCGGGUUCAAGUGAUUCUCCUGCCUCAGCCUCCUGAGUAGCUGGGAUUAUAGGCAUGCACCACCAGGCCCAGCUAAUUUUUGUAUUUUUUUGUAGAGAUGGGGUUUCGCCAUGUUAGUCAGGCUAGUCUCGAACUCCUGACCUCGUGAUCCACCUGCCUCGGCCUCCCAAAGUGAUGGGAUUAUAGGCGUGAGCCACUGUGCCUGGCCUAAUUUUAGUAUUUUUAGUAGAGAUGGGGUUUCGCAAUGUUGGCCAGGCUAGUCUCGAACUCCUGACUUCAGGUGAUCUGCCUGCCUUGGCCUCCCAAAGUGCUGGGAUUACAGGUGUGAGCCACCACGCUUGGCCUCCUCUGCUCAAUCCUGACCAGAAAAAUCAAAUUCUAACUCCCCCAAUCAACUGAAUUCCCCUCCAUUCAUCUGCCAAGGGGAUUCUAAAGAAUCCUGAAAACUAGUUCAGGCCAUGACAAUUGACAUUAAAACAGAUCUUAAAACUGACAAAACAGAUUCUUUGUAGCAAUAAGAUACCAAAUUUCAACCUGACUCAGGUAUAACUUCACAUGAUAAAAAAGGAAAUAAAAAUAUUUUACCCCCAAAAUAGAUUUCUUUGACAUAUUUUGAAAUGGCCCUGCAAGGCAGUUGGGGAAAUUUUGCAUCUGUAAAGCAUCUCCUUAACAUAACUAGAUCUUUCCCCUUCCAGGCCCUCCUAAACCUGAAGAGAUUAACUGAGAUUCUAGCACCUUUUAAAGUCUACAUAGGAAACAUUCACCAUUUAUUAUCUCUAAGGGCAGCCACUUAUGAGACUUCAUCUAUGUAAUAAAAACCUUGGUCUCCACAACCCCUUAUGUUAACCCAGACACUCCUUUCUAUUGAUUCCAGGUCUUUAGAAAAUAACUUAACUCCUCCAAGCAAUUGCCAAACAGAAAACCUUGGCAUCUUCCUAUGACCUGUAAGCACCCACUUUCCCCUGCUUUAAGUUGUCCUACCCUUCUGCACCAAACCAAUGUAUACCUCACAUGUAUUGAUUGAUGUCUUCUGUCUCUCUAAAACAUAGAAAAGAAAGCUGUAACCCAACCACCUUGGUCAGGACGUCUUGAGACUGUGCCUUGCGCCAUGGUCAGUCGUAUUUUGUGCAGAAUAAACAUUUUUCAAUAUUUU
rnacentral:lncRNA from 10 species